AUCCAGCUGUCAAGUCCAAAAUAGGGCGAAACGCGCGUUCUAUAU
rfam:Schistosoma curassoni strain Dakar, Senegal genome assembly, scaffold: SCTD_scaffold0001809